CGAACGGGUGAGUAACACGUGGGUGACCUGCCCUCAGCUCUGGGAUAAGCCUGGGAAACUGGGUCUAAUACCGGAUAUUCACGCACCUCUGCAUGGGGGUGUGUGGAAAGUUUUUUCGGCUGGGGAUGGGCCCGCGGCCUAUCAGCCUGUUGGUGGGGUGAUGGCCUACCAAGGCGACGACGGGUAGCCGGCCUGAGAGGGCGACCGGCCACACUGGGACUGAGACACGGCCCAG
rnacentral:rRNA from 1 species